rnacentral:rRNA from 1 species
AGGCAGCAGUGGGGAAUAUUGCACAAUGGGCGCAAGCCUGAUGCAGCCAUGCCGCGUGUAUGAAGAAGGCCUUCGGGUUGUAAAGUACUUUCAGCAGUGAGGAAGGUGGGUAUGUUAAUAGCAUACUCAUUUGACGUUAGCUGCAGAAGAAGCACCGGCUAACUCCGUGCCAGCAGCCGCGGUAAUACGGAGGGUGCGAGCGUUAAUCGGAAUUACUGGGCGUAAAGCGCAUGCAGGUGGUUUGUUAAGUCAGAUGUGAAAGCCCGGGGCUCAACCUCGGAAUUGCAUUUGAAACUGGCAAACUAGAGUACUGUAGAGGGGGUAGAAUUUCAGGUGUAGCGGUGAAAAUGCGUAGAGAUCUGAAGGAAUACCGGUGGCGAAGGCGGCCCCCUGGACAGAUACUGACACUCAGAUGCGAAAGCGUGGGGAGCAAACAGGAUUAGAUACCCCGGUAG